CUAUGGAUAUGAACCUCAUGCAAUCCCGCUUCAAAAAGUGUGAACGAUUCCUUUAAGUCUCCCCACAUGACAUUGCUGGUUUAAAAUUAAAAUGGUGAAUAGUAGUAAUGAAGUAAAAUGAUGCAGAAUUUUUUAUUUUUUCUCUCGUAUUACAUUUUUUGUCUGUGGUCAUUUUACACAGCAUUUUGCAAACUAUUGUAAAAUUUUGGGUAUUUUAAUACUGUGUAUUAAUUAAUCAGGAACUCAUGAAAUCCACAAACUUAAGGCUUCAAAAUUCACCCUACAAAACCAUAGCAACAUCUCUGCAACUCUAAACAAAAAUGAAACCGGUUUGUGAAAUAUCUAGUAAUUAUCAGCCUUUUGUAGUGUUUUUGCCACCCUUAUGUAUGUUAAUGGAGUGGACAAAAUAUUAGGAAUUCUUUUCAAUUUAAUACACUCCAGUACUGAGCUACCACCCACUACCACCUCAGUCAUAAAUAUAAAGUAGACUUAUCACCUUUCUCUCAAUGACAACGCAUUUGAUUGCAUUAGAUUGCACACGUGUUCCUAAUAAAUACCUCAGUGAGUUUAUAUUACACCAAGACUGCACUUGUUUGGAGAAAUUUCCUAUUUCUGGAAUUAAUAAAUUGAGCAACAGAGAUGGCCUAAAUUAGAAAAAAGUUUGGACCAUCAUAUUUAUCACAAAAAAGGACACAUAAGUUAUCAGUUCCUUAAGUUAUUAAGGAACAAUUGUAGAAUAGUUAUUUGGUUUAACCUGGAGUACACAUGUUCUUCCAGAAAUGAGGUGAGGAAAAAACUGGAAGACUUGCAUCAGCAUAAAUUUAAAAUUUUAUUAUUUUUUCAUACAAACUGUGUGGUACUAUGGUUCAUUGUCACCAUGGCUCCACUCACCAGUUGCUUGGCAACCAACUCCUCCUUGGAACUGAUGCAACUACUCAUGUCUUCAUAAUUACAGGCUCUUUUGCAAUAUUUAGCAAAAACAAAACAAAAAAAAAACAAUAGAAAUGCGUGACAAAAUAAUUUUAUGAAGCUGGAAUACAGAGGUUCUUUGCAAUUAAUUUCGGCUCCAAACUGUAUGAGUUACUUAUUUCUGUGGCUUGUAUUGACGUACAAUACAUGUUAAAGCUGCUGUUUCAAUUUUUAAGCUUUUCUGGAAUUUGCAUGUCUGCAAACGCUUAUAUGUGUCUAAUGUGUUUCAUCUUUGGUUUUGUUGGCUGAGCAAGUGAUUCCUCCAGCCAGGUGUCGGGUAAAUCACCCCCCUCUGGGAAGGCAGAGAUCCUGCACCUGAGGGGCUUCUCUGGGCUCGAGGUAGAGCCAGGGAAUUCACAAAGAGGCCUGCAAGAUAAUUAAACAUCUGUGAACAAUUUAGAGGUUUGGUCUACUACAGGAUGAGUCUCUCUGGCUGGAGUCGGAGGAAGCUGACGUGCUGUCUGUGGAGCUGGACUUGACUGAGUGGACCGAUGGUACUGAUACUCUUGGAGGAUUUGACCUGGGUCUGGCCACGACGCCGACUGAUGCUGAGUUGCUCCACUCUGGAUGAAUACAUCAAACACGGGUGAAUGAAGCCAGGAGGAAGUAAUGCAGCGUGAAUGCUACAGCCACACAGAGGCCAUACAGACCCCAGGAGGCCAGCCAGGAGUUGACCAGGAAGACCAGGUUCAAGCCCAGCAGGGCCAGAGAGAGGUUAAGGAGGAUCUGAGACGGGUAGUCUCGACGAAGCUUCCUGAGACGGAGAUGGAGAUGAGCAUGUGGGAGGAAACAAAAGUGAUGUGCGAUUUCUCUGGCUAUGUAGGGCUUGAUGUUGCUCCCGUUCUCACAGAUGAUGGCAAGCAUCAGUCUCACUUCAUAAAUGGACCACUCUGCCAGAACAGAAUAUGAAACACCAUCAAGUAAAUGUCUGUCUUUCGUAUGUGACCAGGUCAGGCACAGCGAGUGCCACUGUUUCAGACCAAGGAUGAUCGGCGGGGUAGUCCACUUCGUCCCAAACAACCAGACCACCAAACGACCCCCCUUCCCCUCCAAACCCAGCUCAGGAUUCUGAACCUCUGGAUGACGGUUGAGGCAAACAGUGAGUUCCUGCAGGGUGGGGAUGGAGAUAUGACGCUUUAGUCUCAAGUGGCUGCACCCGAAGUCGGUGCAGAGGAUGUCUCUCCCCUUGGCUACGAAACGCUUGUUGGACAGACUGAGGGAGCAUUUCUUACAGUUGAAGCAGUAUUCGUGCCAAGAGCUGCCCUCGUAGUUCACCACGUUCACGCCUUUACCGAAACCUGAGAGGAGAGAAGAGGAGAGGAGAGUCGGGUUAAGACCCCGUUCUAAUGUGUCACUUUGGUCCCAGUCUGUCCUUUCAGCUCUCUUCAAGUCCAUUUUUUUCCCAUCUUCUUUGUUUACUUUCUAAAACUACUGAACAGUAGCAGUGGUAACUUUCUUAAACUUUUAAAUUCUUCACUACACUGUCACCCAGAUAUGUCAUUCCAACCGUGGGAUUUCUUAAUCCUGUAACAGUAUAAAUAGCAUCAACACACUCCAAUCUGAACACACCAGGGCUGAGUCCUUCCAUCCAGGUGAACCUACCCUUUUAUUUACAUUUGCAUCACGGAUUAUGCCAAACUUGUAAAGUCAGGACCAUGUGACCGUAUCCUACUGAUCAGGUUCUUAUGUUCAGUUGGCCAUCAGUUACUGGUAAACAUUUAGCAGGUAUGUUAAAUAGAUGAAUGCAACUUAUAUGAAUAUAUUCACUAUCAACCCAAUACACUAUUUGCCAACUAUAUUUUGAAGGUUAAGUCACAACUUUCACUAUAUACAUGAGUAUUUUUAACAUUUACCCAGUUUAUAGUAGUUUUUUAUCCCAAGUUAUUACUUAAAUCACUCUCUACUGGCCAUUUUAGGUCAACUGCUUGGUGAUACAUUUUUGAAGUUACAAGUUGAUCCAAAUUAGUUUUUAUCCUAGACUGUCUCAUUUCAUUAGGAGCCACAGGUUCACCCUGGUCUCAAGGACCUCCAUUCAGAGAUUCAAGCCCCUGAAUUGGGACACGACUAUCCACACUAAAAAUUGUCUUCUCAAACUGUUGAUAGGUUACAGUUUAAAGCCAAUUCAAGAAGGUCCCUGACCAGAAGCUUGCCUCAGUAAAUGAAGAUUGCACGUAUAUAGAGUUUGUGGAUGCUUCUCCUGUAAAAUUUUUGACUAGAUUAUAACUCCAAACUAACUAUAAUUGACUUGCAUAAUAUAUUUUUGAAUACAGUGUUUUGAAAGAGAAAAAUCAUUGUGUACAUUUUAAUCUUCAGUUUUAAUUUUA